AAGGCGUUAAAGGAUUUUGGAGGAAAGGGGGUACCCCUUGGGUUAAGCAUGUCAUUGGUCAAGGGCACAAACUUUAGAUAUCGUUUGGAAGUAACAGGAGAACCUUAUAUCUUAUGUUAUCUAUGCUGUGGGGCAGGAAUGCGAAGAGGACCUUCAUCCCAGAGGGAGAAUAGGAGAGGGGGUGAUGAUUAUUCAUGAUUGCGGCAUUCAAAUUUGCGAAACAGCCAGUUGUAAACCCUGAUGGUAGAGCAUAGACAAAGAGGGUUGCUGGACAAGAGGGAAGAUCAGGACAGCCUUCUAACAAGAAAGCCUUAUAUUUUAUGUUAUCCGCACUGUGGGGCAGGAAUGCGAAGAGGAUCUUAAUCUCAAAGGGAGGACAGGAGAGGGGCUAAUGGUUAUUCAUGAUUGUGGCAUUCGACUUUGCAAAACGGCUGGUUGUAAACCCUAAUGGUAGAGCGAAGACGAAGAGGGUUAUCUGUGCUAUGGGGGGCUAGUGGUUAUUCACGUUUGGAAGUAACAGGAGAGCCUUAUAUCUUAUGUUAUCCGUGUUGUGGGGUAAGAAUGCGAAGAGGAUCUUCAUCUCGGAGGGAGAUAAGGAGAGCGGCUGGUGGUUAUUCACGAUUGCGGCAUUCAAAUUUGCGAAACGGUCAGUUGUAAACCCUAAUGGUAGAGCAAAGACAUAGAGGGUUUCUAGAAAAGAGGGAAGAUCAGGACAGACAACUCUGUAGAAAGCGGCCUUUAAAUGUCCACAUUGUGUGGUGCCCAUUCGUUUUUCGAUGGAAGUUGGAGUACCAAACUCCUACCCGACGGCACUUCAAUCGGGAGGAGAGUAGGCGUUAUGGGUAGGGCAAACGCGACCCAAGAGGGAGUGGGGUCGGAUUGCACCAAAAAGCCAAACAAAGAGGAAGGUCUGAAAUGCAAAGGGAGUAAGUCGUUUUGAUCCUUGAGGCUCUUUCAGGCUGAGACGAGCAGGCCCAGGGCAUAAAGUUAGUUUUGGGCCCAAUGGGAGAAGGAGAUUCACCCAAGUAGAGAACAAGAAGUGGAUCGCAGAGCCUAGCGUGAGAGAGUUGAAGCCCAGUAAUAGCAGGCGUAAAUUAAGAGGCUGGUGGAGACCCAUGGAUAGUAUCCAUACCCGUGGGGAGUCAUCGGGUCAUAAGGACCCAAUGUGCAAAAUUUCCCAAAUCGAAGACAGAGACGCGGGUGAGAAGGUGAAGGAGAAGGAAGUGGAUUUGAUGGUGAAGGUGUGUGACGAGAAGGCCGUCGAAAUUAGAUGAAGCCCCUUGUCCCAUUGAAACUGAGCGAGAAGAGAAGGAGGAAGAUAGUUGCGGUGUCGAGUUCACAAGGGCCAACGACAGUAAUGGCGGUGAGUUGGCAAUGGUCCUAAUGGAGAAGGCAUAGGUGAUUUUUGUGGAGCCAAAUCUGGACAUUGAAGAGAUUCUAACUAUGAGCUUGGAUGCCAUUGACCUGGUGGACAAGGAAGGUGAAGGGAGCUCUCUAUGGAUAUUACAGAAUGUCCAGAGGUUCAACAGAAUGAUGGGGGUCUCUCUUGAAUGUAUGGAAGAACGGGUAUUUACUUUUUUCUCGAAAAUUGAAAGGAGAGCGAUUAAACAGAAGCCGAGAGUGGUAGUGACUAAGGGGAAAAAAAGAAAGGUGUGGGUACUCCGAGAGAGCUAAAGAGACUAGAGUACUCUGUAAACUAUGAUGGCUAGAUGAAGGAGGGGAAGGAGGGAGGAUUUAGAAUCUUAUUUUAAUGAUUGGUAAAAUAGUGUCAUGAAAUAUAAGAAGAAUUAAUGAUAAGUGUAAACGCCUUGUUCUUUGGGGGUGUUUAUCUAAAUGGAAGCUGGAUGUUGUAUGCCUUCAGGAAUCUAAAAUAAAGGAUUAUACUGAUGAUGUUUUGAAAAGUCAGUGGAGAGAAAUGGACGUGGGGUGGUAGGGUAUCCCGACUAGGGAGUCGGAUGGGAGAAUUUUAGUUAU
rnacentral:lncRNA from 1 species